GCAUGGGCGCGGGAUUGUGCCAGCAGCCGCGGUAAUACGUAGGGUGCGAGCGUUGUCCGGAAUUACUGGGCGUAAAGAGCUCGUAGGUGGUUUGUCGCGUUGUUCGUGAAAUCUCACGGCUUAACUGUGAGCGUGCGGGCGAUACGGGCAGACUAGAGUACUGCAGGGGAGACUGGAAUUCCUGGUGUAGCGGUGGAUGCGCAGAUAUCAGGAGGAACACCGGUGGCGAAGGCGGGUCUCUGGGCAGUAACUGACGCUGAGGAGCGAAAGCGUGGGGAGCGAACAGGAUUAGAUACCCUGGUAGUCCACGCCGUAAACGGUGGGUACUAGGUGUGGGUUUCCUUCCUUGGGAUCCGUGCCGUAGCUAACGCAUUAAGUACCCCGCCUGGGGAGUACGGCCGCAAGGCUAAAACUCAAAGGAAUUGACGG
rnacentral:rRNA from 1 species